AGCUCGUGUCGUGAGAUGUUGGGUUAAGUCCGUAACGAGCGCAACCCUUGUCCUUAGUUACCAGCACGUUAUGGUGGGCGACUCUAAGGAGACUGCCGGUGACAAACCGGAGGAAGGUGGGGAGUGACGUCAAGUCAUCAUGGCCCUUACGGCCUGGGCGUACACACGUGCUACAAUGGUCGGUACAAAGGGUUGCCAAGCCGCGAGGUGGAGCUAAUCCCAUAAAACCGAAUCGUAGUCCGGAUCGCAGUCUGCAACUCGACUGCGUGAAGUCGGAAUCGCUAGUAAUCGUGAAUCAGAAUGUCACGGUGAAUACGUUCCCGGGCCUU
rnacentral:rRNA from 1 species